rnacentral:tRNA from 1 species
GGGCGUAUAGCUCAGUUGGUAGAGUGCUUGCAUCAUAAGCACAAGGCUCUGGGUUUAAUCCCUAGCACCACCA